GCUUCCGCUGAUACUAGCUCUGCGCCGCUGCGGCCCUAGGGGCUUUUUCGAGGGGACCCAAGGGGAAGAGCGAAUCCCGCCGUCGCCAGCCUAGGUCGGAUCCUCAUCAGAUGCUGGACGUUGGAGGAGGCACCGGGUUGUGGGGCGCCACAGGAGGAUUGAACCCCCAGGCUACACCGAAGACUUGGAUGUAUCUCCGGCCAAGCCAUUGCGCAUCUGCAAAAGGGAGAAAAGCCUGCUGCUCAGGAAUAUUCCAGUCGAUGUGAGAAGAAAGGGAUUGGACCCUUAGCUGUCUGGCUGCAACUCACCUGCUGUGCCCUCAGCUUUUUCUGGUGUGCAGAUAGAGGGUGGGACUGGCAUUGCCUGGGACAGUCCCUAACCUGGGAAAGCCUUCGAUGAUAUCACACCUGCACACCUCCGCAAGGAACCCGGUGGAGAGGAUGAGUGAAAUAGCCUGUGGGCAGCAGAGCCUGGAAGAACAGAGAAAGACAAGCCUGUGCAGCCUUGGACUGUUUUGCCCUAAACAAGAAGAAAUCUACAAGGAAAGGAAGAAAUGUAGGAGAGAGUCCAGAUUCCAGUGAGACUCGGGCCUGACUCUAACCAGCUCAUGGCCUGGAAACUUUCCUCCCUUCCACAUUUUCUUGUCCAGGGUAAGCACAGGUGCAGAGGAAAAUGACCAUCCCUGGUCACACACAGUGGCUCACGCUUGUAAUCUCAGCACUUUGGGAGACUGAAGCAGGAGGAUCGCUUGAGCCC